rnacentral:misc_RNA from 1 species
GGGGGGCGGCGGCGGGGCGCGGGGGGGGUUGUGGGCGGGCCGCGCGGUGGGGGUUGGGGGGAAGGGGAGGAGAGGAGGGGAAGAGUUGGUUGGGUGUGUUGGGAGUGGAGAAUAAUGUAGCUAAGGUUGAAAUUGCCUAAAUCCAUGUCCCUGAUAUGGUCAUACAUUCGGGGUAAGCAAACGCAGCACAAACCUCAAAGUCUCAAACAAACACAAAAUAUUUGAAAAGAUACAGGAGAGAGAGAUCUGCACCACUUAAAUCUCACCACUGACGUACAAGGGAUGGAAUUGAUAGCAGAUAACAAAGAGGAUUCAGCUAGCACUAGCAACAAGACAUACUUUUGAGAAAUGCAUGAAUACUUUAAUUAAUUAUAAAGCAAAAGUCUAAUAAGUUUAAUAAGAAUGGAGAGUACCU